rnacentral:rRNA from 1 species
GACGAACGCUGGCGGCGUGCUUAACACAUGCAAGUCGAACGGAAAGGCGCUGAUUUUGUGGGGUGCUCGAGUGGCGAAGGGGUGAGUAACACGUGAGUAAACUGCCCCUGACUUUGGGAUAACUUCAGGAGACUGGGGCGAAUACCGGAUAGGAGCUCCUGCUGCGUGGUGGGGGUUGGAGAGAGUCGGCGGUGGGGGAUGGACUCGAGGCUUAUCAGCUUGUUGGUGUGGUAGUGGCUUACCAAGGCUUUGACGGGUAGCCGGCCUGAGAGGGUGACCGGCCACAUUGGGCCUGAGAUACGGGCCAGACUCCUACGGGCGGCAGCAGUGGAGAAUAUUGCACAAUGGGCGGACGCCUGAUGCAGCAACGCCGCGUGCGGGAUGACGGCCUUCGGGUUGUAAACCGCUUUCGCCGGUGACGAAGCGUGAUUGACGGUACUGGGUAAAGAAGCAACGGCUAACUACGUG